UGACGCUGGGCGGCGUGCUUAACACAUGCAAAGUCGAACGGGGAUGCCAUUUUCGAGGUGAUUAGUUACUAAGCGCCAAGAUGUUGGUAUCUUAGUGGCGGACGGGUGAGUAACGCGUGGGUAACCUGCCUUAUACAGGGGGAUAACACUUAGAAAUAGGUGCUAAUACCGCAUAAGCGCACGGGGCUGCAUGGCCCAGUGUGAAAAACUCCGGUGGUAUAAGAUGGACCCGCGUCUGAUUAGCUUGUUGGCGGGGUAACGGCCCACCAAGGCGACGAUCAGUAGCCGGCCUGAGAGGGUGGACGGCCACAUUGGGACUGAGACACGGCCCAGACUCCUACGGGAGGCAGCAGUGGGGAAUAUUGGACAAUGGGGGGAACCCUGAUCCAGCGACGCCGCGUGAGUGAAGAAGUAUUUCGGUAUGUAAAGCUCUAUCAGCAGGGAAGAAAGAAAUGACGGUACCUGACUAAGAAGCCCCGGCUAACUACGUG
rnacentral:rRNA from 1 species